rnacentral:lncRNA from 1 species
ACAUAGGUGCCCCAGAGAAGACAGAAGUGUUGAGUGAGGGAAGGGUCACUAAUUGGUCCUCUCAGGCUCAGAGAAAAUUUCACAAGAAAAUGGGGCAGAGGGCAGGAAUCUUACACUAUCUCUAGUCCAUACUACAUUCUGAAUAUGUUGGUGUUUCUGUUGACAUUUUUUUGGAGAUUUUGGUGUGGGGUUUGGAAUAAGACAGUUUUUGGUCUGAACAUCUGCUCUGCCAUUUGCUAAGAGGAUGACCUUGGACAGGUGACUUAGUCUGUUCUAACCUCACCUUCUUCACCUAUAACGUUUAAUAAUAAGGAUUUCUAAAUGCUGGGAGUAUGUCACAGAUUAACUGACAUAUUAGUUUGCUUCUGUUGCCAUAAGAAGACCUAACACAGACUAAACAACAGAAAUUCAUUUAUUUUCUCACAAUUCUGGAGGCUGGAAGUCCGAAGUUAAGGCUUUGGCAGGGUUACUGUCUUCCGAGUUCUCUCGUGGUGGCUUGCAGAUGGGCUGCUGAUAAAGACAUACCUGAGACUGGGCAAUUUAAAAAUGAAAGAGGUUUAAUGGACUUAUAGUUCCACAUGGCCGUGGAGGCCUCACAAUCAUGGUGGAAGGCAAGAAGGGGCACAUCACAUCUUACAUGGAUGGUGACAGGCAAAGAGAGCUUGUGCAGGGAAACCGCCUUUUUAAAACCGUGAGAUCUUGCAAGAUAUAUUCACUGUCACAGUAACAGCCCAGGAAAAACUUGCCCCAUGAUUCAAUUACCUCCAACCAGGUCCGUCCCACAACACAUGGGAAUUCAAGAUGAGAUUCGCGUGGGGACACAGCCAAACCAUCUCAGAUGACCUUGGACAGUUUUGUCCUGGUGGAGAGAAGCCAGCCAUCUUGAAGAAUGGCUCCUCCUCUAGAAUUGUCUGCUGCCUCCUCAUCCACUUGCAGUUGGCUUCCAGCUGGGCUUGGACGUGGUCAUUUUCAGAGCCAGCUCUGGCCUGUGGUGUUGUAAAGGGACUUUGUUGGCCCUGCAGGAGAUAAGGAGGUGGCAUGUGCAGUGGGAACCACAGAGGAUCUGAGGGGAGAUAAGAAUCAUCACAUCAGAGGACAUGCUCCUGACCCUGGCCUCUUGUCUGUAAAUGCGGAUCCUAAGGACACCCCCUAAUAAAAUUGUGCCUUCUUGUCUCCAUCUCUGCUUUCCAGAGAAUUCGACCAGUGACAUCACUCUAAUCUCAGCUAACCAGAGGUUUCCCCUCCUCAUGAGCUUUAGAGGACAGAAAUGAAUACAAGGAAAGAAGAAGCCAUUCCCAUCUUCAUUCUUUACUCAACAAGGACCUGCUGAGCUCCUCCGCAGCCCCUGACACUGCUGAGCUCUGGG